AACUUUCAACAACGGAUCUCUUGGUUCUGGCAUCAAAAAAAAACGCAGCGAAAUGCGAUAAGUAAUGUGAAUUGCACAAUUCAGUGAAUCAUCGAAUCUUUGAACGCACAUUGCGCCCAUUAGUACUCUAGUGGGCAUGCCUAUUCGAGCGUCAUUU
rnacentral:rRNA from 1 species